CACGUAGGGUGCGAGCGUUGUCCGGAAUUAUUGGGCGUAAAGAGCUCGUAGGCGGUGUGUCGCGUCGGCCGUGAAAACCUGCAGCUUAACUGUGGGCUUGCGGUCGAUACGGGCAUCACUGGAGUUCGGCAGGGGAGACUGGAAUUCCUGGUGUAGCGGUGAAAUGCGCAGAUAUCAGGAGGAACACCGGUGGCGAAGGCGGGUCUCUGGGCCGAUACUGACGCUGAGGAGCGAAAGCGUGGGGAGCGAAGCGGG
rnacentral:rRNA from 1 species